UACGGGGGGGCAAGCGUUGUUCGGAAUCACUGGGCGUAAAGGGCGUGUAGGCGGGAAGUAAAGUCAGAUGUGAAAUCCCUGGGCUCAACCCAGGAACUGCAUUUGAAACUCACUUUCUUGAGUACCGGAGAGGAAGGUGGAAUACCUGGUGUAGCGGUGAAAUGCGCAGAUAUCAGGAGGAACACCAAUGGCGAAGGCAGCACUCUGGGACGUGACCUGACGCUGAGACGCGAAAGCGUGGGGAGCAAACAGG
rnacentral:rRNA from 1 species